CCAUGGGGAAGCGCGAUAAUCAAGUGGCCUAUAUGAACCCAAUAGCAAUGGCCAGAUCAAGGGGUCCAAUCCAGUCUUCAGGGCCAACAAUCCAGGAUUAUCUGAAUUGACCAAGGCCUACCUGGGAAGAAGUAAAAGAGCAACUAGAAAAGAAAAAGGUUCCAAGGCUUUGGCUGAAUUUGAAGAAAAAAAUGAAUGAGAACUGGAAGAAAGAACUAGAAAAACACAGGGAGAAAUUGUUAAGUGGAAGUGAGAGCUCAUCCAAAAAGAGACAGAGAAAGAAAAAAGAAAAGAAGAAAUCUGGUAGGUAUUCAUCUUCUUCAUCAAGCUUCAGAUUCUGAAGAUGAGGAUAAGAAACAAGGAAAACGGAGAAAGAAAAAGAAGACCCGUUCACAUCGAUCUUCUGAAAGUUCCAUUUCGGCAACUGAAUCAGACAGUAAGGAUAGUUUAAAAAAGAAAAAGAAGUCAAAGGAAACAACUGAGAAAGAAAAGGACAUUAAAGGAACCAGCAAAAAAAGAAAGAUGUGUCCUGAAGAUAAACCUUUAUCAUCUGAGUCCUUAUCAGAAUCAGAUUAUAUCGAGGAGACACAAGCAAAAAAGAAGAAAAGCAGUGAAGAACGAGAAAAAGCAACAGAAAAAAACAAAAAAGAAAAAGAAACAUAAGAAACACAGUAAGAAGAAGAAAAAGAAGUCUGCAAGUUCAAGUCCUGACUCGCCCUAACAUUAAGAAAAAAUCAGGAUUCCCUUAUAAAAGAAAGUGCACUGUCUAAGGAAAUUUCAACUGUGAAAACUACGACAUAUUUACUAAAAUGCAUGAAUUUUCUUGUUUUUAGAAUUAUUCCUGGACUAUUCAGUAGCCACUAAGGGUCCACUGUGUGAAAGGGGCGUAAUUAUUGCCUGCUGCUUGAACAUCUAGUUUUUCUCUUCCAGUGCUUGAUGACUAACUCUGGGAGAUGAUACACUGCAGUUGUACUAGUGGUCGAGAUAUAGUAUUUGGGAAUAAAAUUAAUAUUUUUGACUAGAAAUGUCCAAUGAUAAAUCAACAGAAAUUGAAUCUGGAUACAUCUUUAAGAGAUAAUCAGUAAUGGCCAGAAGACUCUAGUUAAAAUUUUUGAAGUAAGGAUUAUAUUGAUAUUUUAAAAUCCUUAGUCUGUAGAUAGGCUCAUUUUAAUUUUUCCCCUUUGUAUACUUUUUAUUUACCUGGGGAAGGAGCUAUUAGGGUUGGGGGGUUGGUUUGCUUCUCUUUAGCUAGCAGAAUAGCGUGCCUUUGAUCCUCACACAUCCUAUAUUUGUGGACACAGCCAUGUUUUAUUGGGAGGUCAGAGUUGGAUACCAGCAGUCUUACCCUUUACUGCACUUAGUGACAUCCUUGGAGUCUAUUGUAUGCUGCUUUGAGUGAUUAGAGAAACAGCCCUUUGCAGCAUGAGAAAGCCCCAGAAGGUCUGGGAUUUACCUCCACUUCAAUAAGACUGAAUGUUUUUUAGUGUUAGAAUGUGUUAUGUCUUUUGAAUUAAUUUUGAUUCUACUUUGGCUUUAGAGAGGAAUCAUUUCAAAUGGACACUGGUACUUUUUGAACUUGAUAGCUAAUGAUUCUAAAAUGCAUGUUUUAUACUAUUAAGUUUAAUCCAGUCAAGAAAAUUUUAUGUAACUAGUGAUAGUUACUUUAUUUUUUUGUAUGAAUUUUGUUUAGGCUGCAAUGUUUAGCUUUUGUUAACUCCUUACUUUACUGUUUUAAAUUCAUAGCUAUGUUUAAUGGCAUAUUUGCUACAAUAUUUAGCAUGUAAAAAAGCAGGGUC